CUUUGAGACCGGAAGAAUCUACUUUCGGCUGAACAACCAAGCCUUGUAUCUUCAUCAGCAAUGCUUGCGGUGGAAGAAAUCACUUCUCACCAACAUAAGGACAAGUCCAGAGAAGAUGCUCUGAACAAAGCUGAUGCACAUCUAAUCAGCAGUGCCAGCUCGUGAAGCCAAUGAUAAGUGCUUAAUAAUUUAUAAUUUAGUUAUCUUUCCAUAGCACUUAUCAAUGUUCUUAAACUGAUAAAUACAUAUUUUACUAUGAAAUUGAAUAAUCAUUGAAAUAAAUUUAAAAUAUGGUAAGAAGUAAAUAAUUCUUUUCUUAAACCAGACUCUGAACUUGUCUCUCUCUUGGUUUCGAUCUUUCAUGAAAACUAUAGGAAAAUAUAUAAGGAGGAGAUUGUGUUGGCCCGGUUUGGUAACCUGAUAGAGUUGUAAUCAAGCUAAGGUUAUAAUUAAAUGGGUUUUGGUCCUGAUUAGAUUGAAAGUUAUAAUUAAUUAUUUUUGUAUGGAGAAAAUAUUUGAUUAACCCUUUUUAUUAAGACACGGUCUUGUUUUUAGUCUUGUUUAAUUUAUCUGAUCGAGUUCGGUCUGAAGCAGUUUAGCAAGAAUUAAAUUUAAAUAA
rnacentral:lncRNA from 1 species